CAUUAAUAAGGCAGCUUAUUUUGGACUGACCACAAUAACAACAUUCUUUAAGUUCUUAAACAGUUGGAAAUUACUGUACUAGAGCAUAGCCUGAUCUUUUGGCAGGCAGGCAGGCAGGCAGGCAGGCAGGCAGGCAAGCAGGCAGCUUUUUUGUAACUGGGAGCCAAAUGGAGAGAGAGAACAGCAAAAGGGAAUGCAGUGGGACUAACUGAACUUGCUCCCUGGCAUUUGGGACCCGAAGAAAGGACCAAGUCUCAGUAACAGGCCUGGACCAAUCAACAACUGCCAUGGAGAGCCACUGGAACACCUAAAGCAGUUAAAAGGAGGAUGCUUUGAUUUGCGAGCAGGGAAGCAGUUUGCAGAGCCUUGCGCCAGUGGUCGCACAACAGAGCCAAGUCACCAGGAACUUCUCCAAGCCUACCGUGGGAUUGGCAGGACAGGCUACCUCAACUACCAGACUGGUAGAAAAAUCUUGUUGGAGUGGGUGCAAGUGAGAUCCCCUGUGUGUCGGUAAAAAUUUAAGUAAAACUUUUCAUGGUA